rnacentral:lncRNA from 1 species
GUCACUCAGCCUGCAAUGGUGCCCGAGCCUGACAGUUCAUGCCCAUCCCAGGGCUUCUUAUUCAAAACACAGAUUCAUUGUUGAUUCUAAGCCAAGCCUGGAAUUCUGGCAAGUGUAUGUUUAUAAAGCCACACAGAUGAUCCUAAUGAAGAGCCAGCUGAGGAACCAUGCACCCAGUGCAUGGAUUUCCACACUAAGAUGGCUUUAGGCCAAAAGGUAAGAGCAGAGAAUUUGGAAUUUCAGGGACAUGAGCUCAACUACUGCAACCUUUUCAUAUCCAUUGAACGUCUUGGGCCAAGUUCCUGAAACUUUGUGGCCUUAAUUUCUUAACAUCAUGAUAUAGAGAAGAUUUUUGAGGCUUAACAUGAAAAAACAUAUAUAAGGCACCCAGCAUAGGACCAGCCACCUGGCACUUCUGCAGCUGCGGCACCUACCAUCAAAAAAGAUGUGAUGCAUUUCGCUGAAUUCAUGACGUUGAUGCAUUUACCUGAACUGACUGCAUAGUGGAAGAGAUGACAAGGACUUUGUCCCAUUUCACAGAUGAAGAAACCGAGGCAGAAUGUCACAGAGCUAGCCUGUAGUGAAACCAUGACUCACACCCAGAACUGUGAUCUCCAUUUGGUAUUCUUGGCAUUAAAGCUCUCUGAGGGAGAAAGAAGGAAGGAAGGAGGAAGGGACAGUUGUUCUAGGAGGUAGGUGGUGAUGAAAAGAAAUCGCCUCAGGUCUGUUUGUUCACACUUCCUGCCAAAUAAAGGCUGUGUCUCUCAGCAGGUAAAGAACUAAACAAACUGCCUCUGGCAGGCCCAGGAUGGAGAUAUCAGCGUCAGAAGAGGGCCUUGCUGAGAUCUUAUGCUUCUGGAGGGUCACAGGAGGGGUAGAACUCAUGGAAAUAAAACUUCUGAGUUACUAAAAGAAGCCAUCCUGAGGCAUGGGCAUGAGGGCUAAAUGUCUUUUCAGAGAAGCUGACAUCCUUUAGCUUUAGUUUUUCCUCUCUUUUCCCCUCCCUUCUCCUCUCUGCUGCUUCUGGAUGCACGGUCCUGAACAAGUUUUUAAUUCUUCAAGGAGAGAAACUUAAAAGUUAGCAUCCCUAAGAGGCAGGCAAUGCAGUCAACUUCAUACUAUGGUAUAAAUGACUAAUAGAAACAACUUAUCUCUGAGCUUUUUGUUUCAUAUUUUGAGAGCAACAACCUGUACAGAGCAUUGUGCUGAGCACCUGCCAUCCACAAGGAAUUUACAGCUACAGGGAGCCUGCGAUGGUUACAUUCUAGUCCUCUCUGUGCUCUCACAGCCCUUUUCAUUGAGCUGUGAAAGUCUCACAUUUUACAGUCCUCUGUGCCCAUUGCCGGGAGCUAUAUAGGUGUGGCCCUCUUCUACCUGGAGCUCACAGUCUCGCAUGGGAGAGACUGAAGGAAAAAGCAUCAUCAUCCAGUGGGAGAGACAAAUUAAAUCUAGGGCUUACCAAGAGGGUAGGAGGGGUGAGUGAACCUGACUGGGGGAGGCAGGAGGGCUUCAGGGAGAAGAUCCCUGAUAGAGAUUUUAAAGGAUAAGAAUAAGAUGGAUGUAGGCAAAGAAGAAGGAGUAGAACAUCUGAAAUUGAGAACAACCCAUGUGAAGAUAUGAGCCUUUUGAAAAUCAGAUCACAAAGCUAGUCAGUGACAUACCAAAGCUUUAAACUUAGAUCUGUUUAACCUCAAUGCCAAUUCAGUGGAGACCACUCUCCCUGGAGAGGUAGAAGUGGGGAGAUAGUGGGAACUGGGGUGGUAUUUCUUAGAGCUUCUUAUUGAAUGAACUGGUGAAAAGGGAGAGUUCCCUGAUUUCCCUCGCAGGAUGUGUAGCAGGGGUGUGGCUCACCUGCUUGUUUGCCCUGCAGCUCAAACCCCUAGGAGAAGCAUGCAGACAGGCAGGUGCAGAGGCUGAGGUGAGUACUUUUGGGCUCCUGCCCCACCGCAACAUCAAGAGGUGGGUGCCUGUGACUCCUGAAGCCCAAGUAGGUGUGUGCUACAAAGCUCUUUCAGGUUUGCCAUCUGCAGACAGCUUGUGUGUUAAUCAGCUCAACGGACCCUCUGCCUUAUUCCAAGGGCAGAGAGCCAGUGUGACAGCCUUUUGUAUCCUGAGCUCUUGCCCAGUGUCCUGAAAGAAUUGCAUCAUACAUGAGCUUGAGGGAUGAGUGCAAAGUUUUAUUGAGUGGUGGAGGUGGCUCUCAGCAAGAUAGAUGGGGAGCUGGAAGGGGGGAUGGAGUGGGAAGGUGGUCUUCUCCUGGAGUCGGGUCACCCAGCAACCAGACUGUUCUCUGACCGCCCCCAGCUGAACACCCCUUGUUGUCCAGUAGUCCCUCCUCUUCUUUCUUUCCCUACUGCAUCUUUCCACCAUUGCUGGUGUGCCGGUCCACUCGUCUGCUGAUCUGCUGGUCUCAAUGUUCAGCCGCUUGUGUGUGUGCCCACUAAGGUCUCAGGUUUAUAUGGGGCAGCAGGGGGAUAAUGGCAGGCCAAAAGCAACUUUUUGGGCACAAAAACAGAAAUGCCUGUCCUCAUUUAGGGCAGCAGGUCUUCAGGCUUGAGGGAGGGGCCUUUGUUGGGUAAAUGCCCUCUUCUACCCAGUAUUUCCCUGUCUCCUGUUUGUAUCACUGGCACUCCACCCCCAACCCAGCCACAUGACCUUGGGCAAGGGACGUGACCUUCAUCUCUGUAAGAACCUUUUUCCCAUCAAGGAAAGGAGGCAUUUGAUCUCUGUGAUGCUGAUGUGGCUGCAUGCUGGGGUGAGUGCAGCAGCGUUAGUUCUCUCGUGGUCUCUGCCAUAGAACAAACCACUGCCCAGCCAUUGCCCAGUGACUGAGAAACUCUCUGUGUGGGCAGCAGGGGGCUGGCAGUUUUGAGCUCUUGAUAUGAGAGACACAAGCUGUUCUGCAGGGCUCUGUGCUUUCUCUAUGACCAAUGUUUUUGAACUUCAGUGUUCACUCAUUGCCUUGGGGUCAUAGAUGGUCAUGACAGGAUGGGGUCUUCAGGGAUCUCUGCACUGUCCUCGCCUUGUUGUUAGCACGGAAUCUGAGGCUUGGGGAGGGAGAGUCCCCAGGCCAGUGCUGAGACAAGGCCAGAAGCCUCAUCCCCUGAUCCCUGUGGCUUGUUUCCCACCACCUAUUACUGUCUUAGGGGAGUCAUAGAUAAAGCUCUUUGGCUGUAAGCAAUGUCUCUGGAGGCUCAUCAAGCAGCAGAGAAGAAAUAGCUUCAGCAACUAAUUUUUGUCUGAAAAGAGGAAAACAAUAAAGACCUUAAGAGAGAAAUAAACUUGGAGGCUUGGUGAAGAAAAAAAUUAAAGAAAAACUGCCAAUUGCUGGCAAGAAAAAUGAAGAAAGUAUGUAAACACUGGAAAGAGUAGGUGAGGAAAAUAAAACAACAAAAUAAAGAGCUGUUUAUUCAAAAAUUCCUGUGACUGUGACCAGGUCAAUCACUCCUCAAAAACCAUCCAUAGCUCCCUAGUGCCUGGAGGAUAGAAGUAGAGACUUGGAAUCUUUGAGUUAGAAGCAUGUCUAGUUGGUGCAUAUAGGGCUCAAUCCACAUUGUUUAAUUUUAAAAUAUUGGGGUUUUUUUUAUUUAUUUUUGGUGGGAGCAGGGAGACAGAGUCUCACUCUGUUGCCCAGGCUGCAGUGCAAUGGUGCGAUCUCAGUUCAUUGCAACCUCUGCCUCCUGGGUUCAAGCAAUUCUCCUGCCUCAGCUUCCAGAGUAGCUGGGAUUACAGGUGGAUUACACAACCAUGCCCAGCUAAUUUUAUAUUUUUAGUUGAGACAGGGUUUCACCAUGUUAGCCAGUCUGGUCUCCAACUCCCAACCUCAGGUGAUUCGCCAGCCUUGGCCUCCCAAAGAGCUGAGAUUAUAGGUGUGAGCCACCACGCCCAGCCAAAAAUAUUUUUUUGAGUGCCCAAAGAAAUAUAUAUUGUACAAAAAUAUAAAUACUAGGAUUAAGAUGGUGAAUAGGAGGCAGGACUAGCUUGCAGCUCCCGCUCCGAUGCACAGAGCAGCAUGUGGAGAUUCACAGCAUGAACUUUUGCUCCAAGAACUACCACAGGGACAAACCAGGAAAGCUGAGAGAAUCCACAGACCCUUUGAAGGAACUGGAUCACUGCUGCAGUCUCCCUGAGAUGCCAAAAAACUGUGAGUCUGCUUGCUUUCUCAGUGGAGAAACUCAUAGACUCAGCCCUGGUCACUGGCUGCCUGGAAAUAGAGUCAGUGCUGUUAUGGGGGCACAGUGGGAGUGAGACCAGCCUCUGGGACUGUAGGCUGCAUGGGAGAGGUGUGAGACCUGUGACUGCCAGCUUUCUCCCCACUCUCCUGGCAACCUGUAUAAGUCAGCAGAGACAGCCAUAAUUCCCCUGGUAAUAUAACUCCACUGGACUUGGAACCACAUUCCCAUCUCCUAAAGCAGCUGCAGCAAACCCUGUCCAAGGAGAAGCUAAGCUCAGACAUGCCUAUCCUUCUCUGCAUCUGGUGGUCUUUCUCUACCUGCCCUGGUAGCCAAAGACAAAGGUCAUAAUCUCCUGGGAGCUCUACAGCCCUGCCCACUGGCUGAG